GGGUUGUGAGGUUAAGCGACUAAGCGUACACGGUGGAUGCCCUGGCAGUCAGAGGCGAUGAAGGACGUGCUAAUCUGCGAUAAGCGCCGGUAAGGUGAUAUGAACCGUUAUAACCGGCGAUUUCCGAAUGGGGAAACCCAGUGUGACUCGUCACACUAUCAUUAACUGAAUCCAUAGGUUAAUGAGGCGAACCGGGGGAACUGAAACAUCUAAGUACCCCGAGGAAAAGAAAUCAACCGAGAUUCCCCCAGUAGCGGCGAGCGAACGGGGAGGAGCCCAGAGCCUGAAUCAGCAUGUGUGUUAGUGGAAGCGUCUGGAAAGGCGCGCGAUACAGGGUGACAGCC
rnacentral:rRNA from 1 species